rnacentral:rRNA from 1 species
CAGUCGCCGCGGUAAAACGGAGGAUGCGAGCGUUAUUCGGAAUCAUUGGGUUUAAAGGGUCUGUAGGCGGGCUAUUAAGUCAGGGGUGAAAGGUUUCAGCUUAACUGAGAAAUUGCCUUUGAUACUGGUAGUCUUGAAUAUCUGUGAAGUUCUUGGAAUGUGUAGUGUAGCGGUGAAAUGCUUAGAUAUUACACAGAACACCGAUUGCGAAGGCAGGGGACUAACAGGCAAUUGACGCUGAGAGACGAAAGCGUGGGGAGCGAACAGGAUUAGAUACCCCGGUAGUCCCUGUCUCUUAUAC